rnacentral:rRNA from 1 species
GGUGACAGGUGGUGCAUGGUUGUCGUCAGCUCGUGUCGUGAGAUGUUGGGUUAAGUCCCGCAACGAGCGCAACCCCUAUUGUUAGUUGCCAUCAUUCAGUUGGGCACUCUAGCGAGACUGCCGGUAAUAAACCGGAGGAAGGUGGGGAUGACGUCAAAUCAUCAUGCCCCUUAUGACCUGGGCUACACACGUGCUACAAUGGCUGGUACAACGAGUCGCAAGUCGGUGACGGCAAGCUAAUCU